GGGUCAAUGAUGACACCUACACUUGUCUUGAAGAGAGAUAAUGACAUAAAAAUCAUGCUCAAUAGGAUUACGUUGAGGCCU